AUGCGUAACUGUCUACAGUCGUUGCACUACUGUAGACUCGACCCCUGCGAAUUUCCCAAAUGUGGAAUUCUCGAUUGCAUAAUUUCUGGUAGUGGGGGACUGCGUUCGCGCUCUCCCCUG
rnacentral:snRNA from 1 species